rnacentral:lncRNA from 1 species
UUGGAGGAAUGUGAAGAAUUCAGAGGCGACUUAGAUGCAGCCUUUGGAGGGCUUACGGGUUAAUGGGAGACACACACAUUCAGUAAUCUCAACUUUCGGUGGCCCAGCUCAGAACAACGCCAGGUGGAGGUGGUCUGGAGAAAUCCGGAGACCGCCUGGAUUGAGUUCUACUGCGAUUGGAAGGGAGAUUCCACAGCCCACAUACUUUGGACUUUAAUUAAGGUUCCAUCUGCCUUCAGUCAGCAACAGAUGUUCAAGUUAUUUAGCCACCGGAGAGACCCACCCCUUCAUUCCUGAGCUAUCUGUGGCCUAGAAG